GGGCCCAUAGCUCAGCUUGGGAGAGCGCCACAAUGGCAUUGUGGAGGUCAAGGGUUCGAGCCCCUUUGGGUCCACCU
rnacentral:tRNA from 1 species